AGUCCUAUGGUCUAGUGGUAUGACGGUAAGCUGAAUCCUCCUCCAUUCCAUCAAAACGGUCUAAUUCUCCGUCCAGUUCGCCUCACAUUGCCUAAAAGCAACGCGAAAGGUCCUGGGUUCGAUCCCCAGUGGGACUA